ACAGGACAGAGUCCACUUCAGGGAGUGGUUUGCCUAGGUUCAGGCAGAGCACGACAAUGACUCCUGAACAUUCAUUCUGUGUCUCAAAGGCUAAGGUGGAAGUGGCUCCAGAAUAUAUCCAUUAGGACAGGAUAAAUUAUGUUCUCAAGAAUAAUUCCUUUCUUUAUAUUUCCAUUUGAAGUUAAAGACUGCGUCUUUGUGCUUUUCUUUCUUUUACGUAUUGCUAGAGAAAGAAUGAGAAACAGCAUCUAAAUCAUCAUCACCAUGAUCAUCAUCACCACCAUCACCACCACCAGCAUCAUCACCAUUAUCGUCAUCACAAAGCUGAGAACGCAAGUAUCUCUCUCCCUGAGACUCCAGGCUUACCAGUUGUGCUAGGUUGGCUGACUAAGAGGAUGACUGAUUAUACCAAAUGGAGGAGAGGAACCAGAAGAAGAAAGGAUGACUAUGCAUUUGCCUGUCUGAGGGAGACAUUCCAACUCAUGUGUUUAAGCCUCCCCAUGGGCCUGUUUCUCCCAUCUGGGAAUCUAGGGUCAUCCCUUCCAUCCUCCAAAGCGACAUGUUCCCGGAGUGUCAGAACUCUGUUUUAUCCAUUCUGUUGUAUGAUUGGGGGGAGAGUUGAGCAUUUUGCCUCAGAUGUGCAUGUAUAUUCUUGAUUUAUCAAGCACACAUCUUCCUUGCUGCCGUUUUGCAUUGGUGCUCUCCAAAGCUUUCUAGGACAGAACAAGUGGGAGUUCCACUUUCUGAGAUCUUGUCUGUGUAAAGUUUAACUGUUUCUUUAUGUGUGAUAACGGAGUGUGAACACGUGAAAUAAGAUAGGAAAAGAACAUAUGUAACAGCCCAGAGGCAAGAGAGUGGGAUAUUUUAGAUCUGAGAAGGAAGUGUCACAGGCCUGUAUUAACCAAACAAUAAAAUAUUGGACCACAGCACUAAAUUCUCAAGAAGACAACUUGAAAUGAAUGCAAAAGAAGUCAUUUGAGGCAAACAUUAACCCAGAGAUUUAUAAAAGAAACAGGGCAACUUAGACGAGCCAUCUCUGUGCAAUCUUUCUGGGUUAGAGACGAUGUCAUCAGUGAUACUCACAGCCUAAACCAAAGUUGUAACAACAGAAAGGUACCAUGAAGAAGAAAAAAAGUGACUCAGAGAGAUUCACCUGAUGCCUUCCCGAACUUUCCAUGUGAGACCAUGUGACUGCAGCAUCAUGAGGUAACAUCCAUGCCUACUGAAGGAGAUGUUCAUUUGGCUGACUUGGGAGUAGGAAUGGGGAGGACUGUGAAGAGGGUCCGAGUCACUAUGAGAUUACAAUGAAUGGGAGCCCAUCACUUCCCACUCCUUCCUAAAGCAUGGCUGACUUUAAUGCCUGGACAUCAUCAUCUGGUUCCCUGAACUCUCUCUGGCUAACGAUUCACACUUGGUACUUAUUUUAACUAAAAGGGGAGUUAAAUCUUUCCUUUCCUGUAAGUCUGCACAUGCAGGCUAUCUGCUCACACAUUCUACCACCUCACUAGUCUAUGAGAUGUUCAAGUUUCCUUAUGUCAGUGUUCCUAAAGAAAAUACCAAAGGCAAAUAUGUAAAACAAUAAAUAGCAUAGGGAGUAAGUUAUCAAAAUAUAGCAGAAAUGCAGCGCAUAAAUGCAGGAUCGAUUUAAUCGUUUGGUUUUCCUUUUCCUAAUAUCAAAGGCAUGAGCAAAGCAAGGUGCUUUGGGUUAUAUUUGAAAAUAUAAACAAAAAUAAGAUUGCAAGGUAAGGCAGAGAGGUAGGGAGACUAAAAAUCAGCCAAGACAACCGAGGGCUCCUGGAGGAGGAAGAGUCAGGGCUCUUCAGGGAUGCAGCCCGUUAUGGGUUGCCUGUGCUCAAUGGAUGGCCCCACCUCUCUGCUGAAUAUGCCAGAUCUAACUGUGCUCAGUGAGUUAUAAAGGAGAAAGAAAUAAAAAGAGGAGACCAUGACAUUGAGAGAGGACAGGAUGGGUUCUAGGAAAAGCUGAGCAGGGCAGGGUAAAUAUCAAAAUAUUUUAUGUACAUGUAUGAGAGUCUCAAAAACUAGACAAAAUUAAAUAUUAAAAAUUCAGCCAAGUCCUCCAGGACAGUGCUCUAUGAGCUGCAGUAUUGAAUUAAUUGCUGGCAUCCUAUUAAAAGGGAAUUUUUCAAUACUCUUGUUACAUAACCCUUCAUUAGCAGCUUAGAGUCUGGGUAAGCUUUCUGGAUAAAUGUUUAUGUGAUAAGAACAGUAUCCGACUAUUAUUCACAGGAGAUAAUAAAGAGCUGACUAAUUCCACAUUUAGUGAGGACAGAGAACACUUCCUCAGCCAGGAAGGCAAAGCUUCAUCGGGUGAAUUUAACCAGUGAACAGCCAGUUUGCCAAAAUGAGGCAAAUGAUCAUAAAACUAGCUUCAAACAACUUACACCCAAAUUUUAAGUGCAAAGACCAGUACUGUUAAGUAUUAAAAAUUCAAAAUAUUGAAAUAUUCUAUCCUCGGUAUGCUCCACAGAUAUGCAUAAGCUCUACAUGCAUAGUUCCUGGUGUGUUAAUAUCAUUUAUAAGCAGUCUUUGUAGUGAAUAACUUCCUUUCUCUCCCAUUGGGAAGAAAUGGAAAUUAUGACAGAAUAUUGGAUGGUCAUUUUCUUUCAAACUUUAAGUUUUUAUCUGAUUGUUAAAGUAAUAUACACUGGUUUACCUAAUAAUCACAAGUGGAUAGGAGCAGUAAUAAAAUCCGCACUAACAUCUUGGCAUAUUUAUUAUCAUUUUCCUUGAUCACUGUAUGACUGAAAUAAAAUAUGUAAAUUCUAGCGCCU
rnacentral:lncRNA from 1 species